UGGGGAAUCUUGCACAAUGGGCGAAAGCCUGAUGCAGCGACGCCGCGUGAAGGAUGAAGGUCUUCGGAUUGUAAACUUCUGUUAAGUGGGGCGAAAAGCCUCUUUCUAAUACAGAGAGGAAAUGACAGUACCACUAGAGAAAGCACCGGCUAACUUCGUGCCAGCAGCCGCGGUAAUACGAGGGGUGCAAGCGUUAUCCGGAAUUAUUGGGCGUACAGGGCGCGUAGGCGGCAUGUUAAGUCUGUUGUUAAAUAUCCCGGCCUAACUGGGAAAAGGCAAUUGAUACUGAUGUGCUUGAGGGUGGAAGAGAGAAGCGGAAUUCUCGGAGUAGCGGUAAAAUGCGUAGAUCUCGAGAGGAACACCGAUGGCGAAGGCAGCUUCUUGGUCCAUACCUGACGCUGAGGCGCGAAAGCGUGGGGAGCAAACAGG
rnacentral:rRNA from 1 species